rnacentral:lncRNA from 1 species
UCAACUAGAUCAUAUUGAUGAUGUCUUGCAUAGGUGUCAUCGCGUAGUGGAGAUUGCGCGGGUAGACAUUAACGAGGGUAUCUUCCCUGAUGGGUUUGGUAUCAAGCGAGUCCUAGAUACCAUCCGGAGACAUUACCGGAGGACGAAGGGGAAUGAUGGCCGAGGAGGUAGAGCAGACAAAUGAGGUAGAUGAGAGGUUGUCAGACACACACAGUAGUAGUCUCCUAUUAUUUUU